rnacentral:rRNA from 1 species
AACUUUCAACAACGGAUCUCUUGGCUCUGGCAUCGAUGAAGAACGCAGCGAAAUGCG